rnacentral:rRNA from 1 species
UGCCAGCCGCCGCGGUAAUACGGAGUGUGCAAGCGUUGUUCGGAAUCACUGGGCGUAAAGCGCGCGUAGGCGGCAAGGUAAGUCAGAUGUGAAAUCCCUCGGCUCAACCGAGGAACUGCAUUUGAAACUGCCUGGCUUGAGUACGGGAGGGGAGAGCGGAAUUCCCGGUGUAGAGGUGAAAUUCGUAGAUAUCAGGAGGAACACCGAUGGCGAAGGCAUCUCUCUGGGCCGAUAUUGACGCUGAGGCGCGGAGGCGUGGGUAGCGAACGGGAUUAGAUA